UACAGAGGUCUCAAGCGUUGUUCGGAUUUAUUGGGCGUAAAGGGUGCGUAGGCGGCAAUGUAAGUUGGAUGUGAAAUCUUGAGGCUUAACCUCAAAAUUGCAUUCAAUACUGCGUUGCUUGAGCGCUGUAGAGGAGAUUGGAAUUUACGGUGUAGCAGUGAAAUGCGUAGAUAUCGUAAGGAAGACCAGUGGCGAAGGCGACUGCCUGGCCCAACACUGACGCUGAGGUGCGAAAGCGUGGGUAGCAAACAGG
rnacentral:rRNA from 1 species